rnacentral:rRNA from 1 species
CUCGCCGUGCGCGUGCUAUACAUGCAGUCGAGCGGAUUGAUGGGAGCUUGCUCCCAUCAGUCAGCGGCGGACGGGUGAGUAACACGUGGGUAACCUGCCUGUAAGACUGGGAUAACUCCGGGAAACCGGGGCUAAUACCGGAUAACUCAUUUCCUCGCAUGAGGAAAUGUUGAAAGGUGGCUUUUAGCUAUCACUUACAGAUGGACCCGCGGCGCAUUAGCUAGUUGGUGAGGUAAUGGCUCACCAAGGCGACGAUGCGUAGCCGACCUGAGAGGGUGAUCGGCCACACUGGGACUGAGACACGGCCCAGACUCCUACGGGAGGCAGCAGUAGGGAAUCUUCCGCAAUGGACGAAAGUCUGACGGAGCAACGCCGCGUGAGUGAUGAAGGUUUUCGGAUCGUAAAGCUCUGUUGUUAGGGAAGAACAAGUACCGUUCGAAUAGGGCGGUACCUUGACGGUACCUAACCAGAAAGCCACGGCUAACUACGUGCCAGCAGCCGCGGUAAU